rnacentral:misc_RNA from 1 species
AAGUCGUAACAAGGUAACCGUAGGUGAACCUGCGGUUGGAUCAUUACCAAAUCCAAACCCCGGUGCCCUGGGUGGUGUCUCCCCUCUCUUCUCCAGAGGCGGGGGGCUCCCCCCCAGGUGUGCCUACCCACCCCAUGUGCACCUUUUUUCUCUGGGGGGUGUCGCCUGCUGUGCUCCGCAAGGGGCGGCAGGAGGCAUCUUCUCUUCUCUUCACAACCAUAUUGUGAGUGUGUCUCCAAUCACCUGACGUUAACACCUCGUGGCCUGCAAGGGCCAUUAGAGAGCAGUAACGAACAACAACUUUUGACAACGGAUCUCUUGGCUCUC